rnacentral:rRNA from 1 species
CAGGACGAACGCUGGCGGCGUGCUUAACACAUGCAAGUCGAACGGAGCGACCUUGAUUGAGGUUUCGGCCAAUGAUAGGAAUGCUUAGUGGCGGACUGGUGAGUAACGCGUGAGGAACCUGCCUUUCANAGGGGGACAACAGUUGGAAACGACUGCUAAUACCGCAUGACGCAUUUUGAUCGCAUGGUCGAAAUGCCAAAGAUUUAUCGCUGAAAGAUGGCCUCGCGUCUGAUUAGCUAGUUGGUGAGGUAACGGCCCACCAAGGCGACGAUCAGUAGCCGGACUGAGAGGUUGACCGGCCACAUUGGGACUGAGAUACGGCCCAGACUCCUACGGGAGGCAGCAGUGGGGAAUAUUGGGCAAUGGGCGCAAGCCUGACCCAGCAACGCCGCGUGAAGGAAGAAGGCUUUCGGGUUGUAAACUUCUUUUGUCAGGGACGAGCAGAAGACGGUACCUGACGAAUAAGCCACGGCUAACUACGUG